AAGCUCCUUCGGGGCGGGGUGACGAAGUCCCCACCGGCGGUAGAGCCCGCGAGCCGCAGCGUGCGGCGUCCGGAGCGAUCCGGCACGCUUUGAAUCAGCCGCACGCCGCUGCAGACCCGGUGCGAUUCCGGGGCCGACCGUGACAGUCGGGAUGGAAGAAGGAGGGA
rnacentral:ncRNA from 2 species